rnacentral:lncRNA from 1 species
UUUUGGAUUAAUAUUUCGGGCGCCAAUAAAAAAGCCCAAAAGUUUUAGAUUUUGUAGGAGAAUUUGCAAGAUAGCCCAGAAGUUUCAGAUCAAUGAUUCGGACGCCCAAGUUCGAAUCCUAGUUGAUUCACAUGUUCCAGCUAAGUUUAUUUCUAAAUGAAAUAAACGAAGCGGGUAACGUGCUACCUAUCUCUCUAUCUCAAAAAAAAAAGAUUCGGGCGUCCAGAAGAGAGUCUAGAAGUUUCGAAUUUGCGUAGGAGAUCUAUGUUUUUUGGAUGGUCCCUAGAGCAAGUGGCAAAAGGCUUGGUGGUUGGUAUCCGAGACUCAAGUUCGAAUCUUAGUUGAUUCACAUUUUUCAGCUAAGUUUAUUUCUAAAUGAAAUAA